UACAGAGGAGCCAAGCGUUGUCCGGAUUGACUGGGCGUAAAGCGCACGCAGGCGGAUGCGCGCGUGGGGUGUGAAAUCUGGCCGCUUAACGGCCAGGCGCCAUCCCAUACGGCGCGUCUGGAGUGAUGCAGAGGUCGAUGGAAUUGCCGGUGUAGUGGUGAAAUGCGUAGAGAUGUGGAGGAACACCAGUGGCGAAGGCGGCUUUCUGGUCUGUAACUGACGCUGAGGCGCGAAAGCGUGGGGAGCAAACAGG
rnacentral:rRNA from 1 species